AAGGUUCUUUCAUCCCAAAGCCCCUGAAUCCCCUUCGCAUUGAUUCACUUGCUCUCACUGGUGAAUUGGGUUUCCCUGAACUGCAGAUGAUGGCUUCACGGCAAAACCAGCAGCAACGCAAGCAAACUCUCACCCUGCCACCGGCACUGAGCAAUGCCACUUCAGAACCGGCACCGACCCCAGAAGCAGUACCAGAACCAUGUCCAGCAACAGUCGAAGAACCAGAAAAUUCACCUCAGGAAGAAGAGGGGCUACAGGAGGAGUAUAAGCAGCCACUGAACCAGCCUCUUGGACCAGCUCCAGAACUAGAACCAGAACCAAUACUAUGCCCAGAACCAGAAUCAAAUCCACCAGAAGUUAAAGAAAUAGAAUAUUUACAACCAGACCACCAGCAAUACAAACAUCCACCAACCCUACCGCCGGCACCAGAAAUGGAAACAUCAAAGGAAUAUCAGCAAGCGGAACCGGAACCGGAACCGGAACCGGGACGAUGCCCACCACCAAUCCAUGAACCAGAAGGUCCCCCUUUUGUGCAACCAUCUUCACCUGUGGAAGAGCAGCAACAGAAACAACCACAUCAUUGGCCGCCAAAGCGGAAGUAGCUUCCAGCUACCAUGAUAUGAAAAGCAAGACCCCGUGCUUGACACAGUUAACCUCAUCUUCUCAUCUGCUGUGGGUUUAGGUGGUUUUGCUGUAGAGAUUUCAGCGUUUUGUCUGGUAUAUGUUAGGGCCUGUUAAAUAUACUCCAUUAGUAUCCUUAAACUGAUUCCAUGCAUGGGACAGAUCCUCUUGAAAUCACUGGAACUCUUCUGAUUCACACCAACUGAGGAUCCUUCUUGUCUAUCGCUCGUCUAUAAGAGAUGUAGGUGCAGGCUGUAGGUGCUAUGAAGUUCUGAGCGAAUGCUUUCACUAUCGGGUCCCUGCUUUUGAAACCCAUCCAAGAGAAAGAGUGAGAACUGGGCUGUCUAUACUGAUUUUUACCUUCACAACCCUAUUAAUAGAUCCCAAGGGCCAGUGUGAUCUUCAUGAACUCCACUCUGCUAAUAACCUCCAGCCUCAGGAAAAAGGAGUGUCUAGAUUCAGUGCUUGGUGUGUAUUAACUGGUGAAUGACGAGGAUCAGUUAAAAGGCUUGAACAGGGAGAGAACAAUAUAUAAGUUAGGAGUGUUUCAUUCUAAUGCAUGAUGGGAUUGACUUUUCACCUUUGAGGAACUAAAAUCCCUGGGACGUAGAUAGACACUAACCAAUAUGCACUGUGGAAUGUCAUAUGCUGGGAUAAUUGUAUCAUUAAAUGGCAUGGUCCACUAUUGGAUUGUGCGCUGCUCUCUAGCUGCAUGUGCGCCACAAUAAAAUCUACCAUUCCUGGAUGGUCA